GACGAACCGUGCGAACGUUAUUCGGAAUCACUGGGCUUAAAGCGCGUGUAGGCGGGACGGCACGUCGGUCGCUGAAAUCCCCCGGCUCAACCGGGGAACGGGCGCCGAUACGACCGCCCUGGAGGGGCGUAGGGGGACCUGGAACUUCCGGUGGAGCGGUGAAAUGCGUUGAGAUCGGAAGGAACGCCCGUGGCGAAAGCGAGGUCCUGGACGCUUACUGACGCUGAGACGCGAAAGCCAGGGGA
rnacentral:rRNA from 1 species